rnacentral:misc_RNA from 1 species
GAUGAAGAACGUAGCGAAAUGCGAUAAGUAAUGUGAAUUGCAGAAUUCAGUGAAUCAUCGAAUCUUUGAACGCACCUUGCACCCUUUGGCAUUCUGAAGGGUAUGCUCGUUUGAGUGUCAUUGUACUCUCACACUCCCGAUCUUUGCAUUGGGAGCAGUGGACUUGGGUUUGCUGCUUCACCGUCGCUUACCUCAAAUAGGUUAGUGCAACUCUUGGUUGGACAUAGUACGGCGUGAUAAGUGUUCUUCGCCGGUGCCUCGCAAAGAGGGUGGCCGAUCGGGAUGUUGUGCUCCAAACCGUCUUCGGACAAUCUCUGACGACUUGACCUCAAAUCGAGUAAGACUACCCGCUGAACUUAAGCAUAUCAAUAAGCGGACGA